rnacentral:rRNA from 1 species
AGAGUUUGAUCAUGGCUCAGAUUGAACGCUGGCGGCAGGCCUAACACAUGCAAGUCGAGCGGUAGCACAAGAGAGCUUGCUCUCUGGGUGACGAGCGGCGGACGGGUGAGUAAUGUCUGGGAAACUGCCUGAUGGAGGGGGAUAACUACUGGAAACGGUAGCUAAUACCGCAUAACGUCUUCGGACCAAAGUGGGGGACCUUCGGGCCUCACGCCAUCAGAUGUGCCCAGAUGGGAUUAGCUAGUAGGUGGGGUAAUGGCUCACCUAGGCGACGAUCCCUAGCUGGUCUGAGAGGAUGACCAGCCACACUGGAGCUGAGACACGGUCCAGACCCCUACGGGAGGCAGCAGUGGGGAAUAUUGCACAAUGGGCGCAAGCCUGAUGCAGCCAUGCCGCGUGUGUGAAGAAGGCCUUCGGGUUGUAAAGCACUUUCAGCGAGGAGGAAGGGUAGUGUGUUAAUAGCACAUUGCAUUGACGUUACUCGCAGAAGAAGCACCGGCUAACUCCGUGCCAGCAGCCGCGGUAAUACGGAGGGUGCAAGCGUUAAUCGGAAUUACUGGGCGUAAAGCGCACGCAGGCGGUUUGUUAAGUCAGAUGUGAAAUCCCCGCGCUUAACGUGGGAACUGCAUUUGAAACUGGCAAGCUAGAGUCUUGUAGAGGGGGGUAGAAUUCCAGGUGUAGCGGUGAAAUGCGUAGAGAUCUGGAGGAAUACCGGUGGCGAAGGCGGCCCCCUGGACAAAGACUGACGCUCAGGUGCGAAAGCGUGGGGAGCAAACAGGAUUAGAUACCCCGGUAGU